UGAAGCAGGACUGCACCUGUAAGUGUGACUAGGUAAUCCACCUGAAGCUAAACAGGUUUGGGCCUGGCCAGUACUUGAAUGGGAGACAAACCAGGAAAGCUGGGUUGCUGCUGGAA
rnacentral:rRNA from 1 species